ensembl:misc_RNA Y_RNA Y RNA
GGCUGGUCUGAAGGUGGUGAGUUCUCUCAGCUGACUGUUCACAGUCAGUGACACAUCCAACCCUUGUUCUACUCUCUCCCCCUUCCUCACUACUGUACUUGACUAGUCUUAA